AUUGAUUCUUCCACUGCAUCGAGUGUGAUACAAUAUUUAUCUACUCGAGACAGUUAAAUUCUAAAUUUUAAAACACGUUUUAAAAAUUUGAAAUUUAACUGUCGAGAGUGGAUAUAUAUCGUAUUGCACGAGGUUUGGUGGUGGAAUCUGU
rnacentral:sRNA from 1 species